GACGAACGCUGGCGGCGUGCUUAACACAUGCAAGUCGAACGAAGAGCGAUGGAAGCUUGCUUCUAUCAAUCUUAGUGGCGAACGGGUGAGUAACGCGUAAUCAACCUGCCCUUCAGAGGGGGACAACAGUUGGAAACGACUGCUAAUACCGCAUACGAUCUAAUCUCGGCAUCGAGGAUGGAUGAAAGGUGGCCUCUACAUGUAAGCUAUCACUGAAGGAGGGGAUUGCGUCUGAUUAGCUAGUUGGAGGGGUAACGGCCCAACAAGGCGAUGAUCAGUAGCCGGUCUGCGAGGAUGAACGGCCACAUUGGGACUGAGACACGGCCCAGACUCCUACGGGAGGCAGCAGUGGGGAAUCUUCCGCAAUGGACGAAAGUCUGACGGAGCAACGCCGCGUGAGUGAUGACGGCCUUCGGGUUGUAAAGCUCUGUUAAUCGGGACGAAAGGCCUUCUUGCGAAUAGUGAGAAGGAUUGACGGUACCGGAAUAGAAAGCCACGGCUAACUACGUG
rnacentral:rRNA from 1 species